rnacentral:tRNA from 1 species
GCACUCUUAGUUCAAUUCGAUAGACCAUGGGUCUCCAAAACCCGAUGUCGUAGGUUCAAAUCCUACAAAAAGUG